GAUGAACGCUGGCGGCGUGCCUAAUACAUGCAAGUCGAGCGAAUGGAUUAAGAGCUUGCUCUUAUGAAGUUAGCGGCGGACGGGUGAGUAACACGUGGGUAACCUGCCCAUAAGACUGGGAUAACUCCGGGAAACCGGGGCUAAUACCGGAUAAUAUUUUGAACUGCAUGGUUCAAAAUUGAAAGGCGGCUUCGGCUGUCACUUAUGGAUGGACCCGCGUCGCAUUAGCUAGUUGGUGAGGUAACGGCUCACCAAGGCAACGAUGCGUAGCCGACCUGAGAGGGUGAUCGGCCACACUGGGACUGAGACACGGCCCAGACUCCUAUGGGAGGCAGCGGUAGGGAAUCUUCCGCAAUGGACGAAAGUCUGACGGAGCAACGCCGCGUGAGUGAUGAAGGCUUUCGGGUCGUAAAACUCUGUUGUUAGGGAAGAACAAGUGCUAGUUGAAUAAGCUGGCACCUUGACGGUACCUAACCAGAAAGCCACGGCUAACUACGUGCCAGCCGCCGCCGUAA
rnacentral:rRNA from 1 species